rnacentral:lncRNA from 1 species
GCUCUGCUUCUCCACCCGCCGUGGGAGCCGUUUUCCUCAGCCCAGCUCUGUUGAUGCUCAUUCUGGGCCCGGUCCCAAAGUAAGCUGCUCACAACGGUGGACUAGACCGGCUCACAAAGUCCUUUAAGCCAAGCAUGAAUCUCUACACAUGGGGCACAGAGCCCUAAACAGCAUACCUAAGGCAGUAGGAGGCAGCUGGGAGCCCCUGCUGUCCAUUGGCCUGGUCUGUCACCCAGCUAUGGAGGAUGCUGAGGCAGGACAAUAAGGAGCUCAAGGCCAACCAGUGUGACUUAUCAAGACCCUGUCUCAAAAAUUAAAAUUAAAGAAAAAAGAGCUAGCGAUAGCUCAGUGGCAGAACACACGCUAGUAUGCACAAGGCCAUGGACUCAACACCCAGCUCUGGAGAAGAAACAAAGCCAUGUUUUCCAUCCUACCAACCCGACUCUGCUGAUUUUUGCCUCCAGUUUAGGUUGAUUUUCUACGAGGAACAAAAUGAAGCAUGAGCCGUACUCGUCAAUGCCAUACUUGGACCCCUCGCGCCCAAGGCCGGACUGUUUCACCCCACCAAAAGGACAUUCCACUGAAGAGAUGAGCCCUUCAUUCACACCGACCAUGCCGACCUCCAGCUGCUCCGCCACUCUCCAGAUCUGGGCCGGGUCUUGAGAGUAAAAGUAACCUAGCAGGGGAACA